AGAUUGAAAAGACCAGUGAUGGAAAUGUUCUUCUCCUGUCCCAGACAAGCGCUCUGCCUUUCAGGAAGGAAACACAAAGCGGAAGACUCAGCUGAAGACAGGGCUGGUCUUUAGCAGCUGCCUGAGUGGAGGCCUCAGUUGUCGCCCUUCAGAGAGUGGCUCCUGUUGUGAUGAUUUAACACACACAAUACAGCGGCUCAAGACAGUGGAUUGAGAGAUUUAUGUUGCUGAUUCUGCAACAAAUGCACCCCGUGCCAAAUGUGCUUUCAAUAACUUCCUGCGUUAUGCUGAGAUAGUUGGUCAAAGGCAUCUCAGUGACAGACGAGGACAGCUCAGUCGUACCUCGCAGCGAGCCAUCUACAAGCUGCCUUUUGAAGGGCCCCUUAUUAAAAACCACCGAAUACUCCAUGGCGCUAAGUGGUGACUCAAACCGGUGUUAUUUUUCCCCCGUGAGACGCUUGAGGAAGCCGAGGCGGUGUGGCUGGAGUGUCCCUGUGAUCUGUGCUUGUGACUUGGAAUGGCUUCGACCUCUCUCAGGGCAGAGGUGCCAAUGCCUCUGAAGGGCUGAGGGAUAAGUCCAUUAUGAGCGGAAGCGAAUAGGAGAGCACGUGGAUGAUGGGAGAAGACUGCUGGUCUACAAGGAGCAAUGUUUAGAAUAUUUGUUCUGAGCAGGACCUAAAUGUGUGGUAAUAGUUUGCUGAGGCUCUGCUAGAAAACCUGGGAAUGACAGUGAUGUCCUCUGUGUUGUUCUGGAUGACAGAAGAGUUCUGCCUGGGCCGCUCGCAGACAGCUCCCUAAAGCACCACAGCGCUGGGCAGAAAGCUACACCUUCAAGCCUUCUGUUUCACACGAAAGGAUGCAGACGCUGUUUCACUGACGGCUGCCUUGAAAAUCACAGCCCUCUGUAGCACCUCCCAAAGAAGACAGCGGGUGGGAAGUUGACAUCCAGUUACCAAAGCAAGAGCCUCAUCUCUCGGCCUGUUCAAUGUCAGAUUUUUUUGGGUCCUGAAAAAUGUAACUGCUGUGCAGAAGAAGAAAUGUCCCUCCUAUAUCUCAGCUAUACUGAGGGUUCAGUCCAUCACCAGGAAGUUACACCACGCCAGCACUGCAGUGUCGCCAGAGGAGCUGAGAGUUAUCCCAGAUGAAAGGUGGUGGCUGCAAAGGCGGUGCUGACAGGUGCAGACAGCCCUGAACUUGCUUUGCCCACGCUCUGCGAUGUUUGGAUAUGUGCCGGCUCUACAGCCGUGCUGCACGGCACAGCGCCUGAGCCUUCCCGUCUGCUCCCAGUAAGACCAGGCAACUGGAGAAUACCGAUUUUCAGCAACCACCUUGGGUCUGACGGUGAAGAGUGUGACAGCUCUGUGGUCUGCUGGUACCUGUGACACCGUGACCAUGCUCUUGUGUGCAAAGCCAGCUGCCACCCGGGUUGCAAUAUGAGAAACAUUACAAAUUAAAGGCUCAUGAUGUCCAGCAACAGCCCCGAGGAGUGCCGAAGCCGGCGUGCCAAGCACAGUGAUUUAUAAUGCAGCAGCAAUUUAUAGCCCUCUUCUUCUGUUUUCUGUCAGCCAGCUCAAAGAGAAGUGUUUGGCACAUUCUCGCUGCGCCCACAGUUCAUGGUGGUGUUUCUCAGGGACUGUAAACAGGGAAGUGCUUUUCAUGUGAGUUUGGCUGUUAGCGAGGUGUUUUUUCCGCUAAUAAGAAUACAAAACCUCUGCGUAUCAGGGAGGAAGAGAGGGAGAUGUGGAAACUGCUGUGUGCACGCUAAUUUGGGAUGUCUCGUGCUCAGCUGUUUCUCUGCCUGCCUGGCACUGCACUGGGUGGCUCUUCCUCCACUCAAGCACCUUAAAAUUCCAAAUUUGUGGGGAACCAAAAUAUAUUUAUUACAUCAACCGAUAAACAAACUGAUAGAUAAAUAAACAAAGCUGUUUGGGGUCUGUUUCCAUCCUAAAGUAACCAUCUUCAGCCGAAGGAACAAUUUUCAAUGGUAAAUAAGGGCUAAGGGAUUGCGGUGCACUGAGAUAAGCAGCGCAGCAUCCUCUGGUUCUCCCAGGCUGGUGGGGAGGCAGCCAGGAGUUGGCUUGGCUUUGCCAAGACUAUGUGCCAGUUUGGAGAUUCAGAAAUUCCUGAUCCAGGACUCCCAGACUUCACUAAUUCCAUAAAAACCACAUUUUCUCCUCUUGUGGCCAGCAUUGUCUCAGCAAUAUUUGUGAUUGCUCUCAUACAAAGCCAUGGGCUGUUAAUGUUGGCAUAUAGGUGUUUUCUAUCAGCCUUCUCCAGCAAAUUUAAGUUGUUCUGCAAGUGGAAUUAAGUAAAGAAGAUUUACGACGGUUUAAAAAAGCCAGUACUUGCAAAGUACAUCCCCAAAGGGUUGCUUUGUGAUCCAAAGUCUCAUUGCCUAUCAUUGUGCUGAAAGUUCUUCCAUAGUCAAAGCCUUUCCAUGUUUCUUCCUAGGGUAUUAACAUGGAUUUAAUCAUCCAUUUAAACAGCUAGCAAGAUAAAACUUGUUUCUGAAUGAUGGGUUGAGUGGAAGGGCCAUUAAGUUAUUUACCUUUCAUUUUUAGUGGUAUUUUGUGGACCAUUGAUAAUUAUGCAGGUUAUUGGGUUUUCCUCCCUUCCAAUAAGAAGGAUAAACUUUUGAAGUCUUUCAUGCUGUUCUUGCAAGAAUUAGGACAGUGUUCUUGUUCCCUGUGUAGGAUUCUUUCUAAAUUCAUUGUUAUUUCCAGGUAACUUCACCCGGCUGUUUGUCCUGCUGCCUUCCUGGCUGUAAGCUGUUAACCUAAAGACCAUUAGAGACAAUUGCAAUGUGGCUCCGCCUUUACCAUCCAGAAGCCGAGUUAGUGGAAUGAUGGUUGCUCAGUGCUGGUCAAGGCUCGGUGUCCCUUCAGAAUGAAGCCGUCACUCUGCUCCUGAAAGCCGCACGGUGCAAUUAGCCACGGUACUUCUCUCCCACUUGCUGCAGCCAGACCUUGACACGGAGACGGUGCCUUUGGCAGGGCAGUGCUGAACACCAGCAGGCAGUACCACCCUUCACCUGGCUUGGAAUCAAGCUGAAGACCCUUAGACAAAGCCUUUAAUGGGCAAGAAAGCUUGUGCUAACCCAUUGGAACCCAGCAGUGACCUCUCAGAGUUGAUGUCAGCCUGAAGACAGCAGCCACCGUGACUCCAUUGGCUCCUGACACGCUCAGUCCCUGUUCCAGAGUUUAAGCACAGGGGACGUGAGGGGUUUUGUGCGUGGGGAGAGGCCUUCAUCUGCAUGGAUGAACACCGGGUUCCAUGAGAUGCCAUUUACCCACUGACUUUGGGAAGGGAGCAAAGCAGGAAUGACAUAUAAGUGAGAAGGAACAUGUGCUCAGAGGUGCCUCCUUGGAGCUGUCUGAGUCUUGGCACGUGGUGAUGGUGGGGAGCAACCCGAACUUCCUGUGCCCUCAGCAUCCUCGCACACGGCACCGAGGCUGGGGGCUGCUUUCUCCAUCCCUGGCAGCCAGACCAGAGUCUCCCUUGGAUGACACAGUCGCAGGGCCAGGCUCGGGAAUGAGAGACGGGCACAAGCUGGUGGCUCAGACCAUCCACGUCAUUUGGCUUUCUCAGGGGACUGCUCGUGAAUCCCUG